GAGGAAUUAGUUAACAAUAACACUACCUUGUCAAGGUUGAAUCACUGGUUAAACCCCAGUAUUUCUCU
rnacentral:tRNA from 2 species